rnacentral:tRNA from 1 species
CUAAGGAAUAUAACGGAAACCCACACAUUCAUCUUACCUUUGUUUAGUUUUGAGAGGUCAAUAAUCUUUCUUCUAUAUACAAGUGAUAAAUUUAUAAAAGCUCUUGGGGCCUUAGCUCAGCUGGGAGAGCGCCUGCCUUGCACGCAGGAGGUCAGCGGUUCGAUCCCGCUAGGCUCCAUUGCAACUUUAGUUGCGAAAAAAAUUGUUCUUUGAAAACUGGAUAAAGUUAAAAAUCGUAAUUUAAGUAAGAAACCAGAAACACACCGAAAUUUUUAAAUAAUAAGUUUUUUAAGGUUCUCAUCGAAAGAUGAGUAUUAAACAUUAACGAUUAACCAUA